UUAUUGACACUCAGCUGUUGGUUGGCAGUGAGGGUCAAAUGAGAGCGUAAAUGCUAUUUAAAAUGAUAAAAGAACUAUGGAUUUUGAAAAUCAGCUCUCAGAUGCUUAUUCCAUGCUCUUCUGCAAGAGGAUAAGAGGUUUUAAGAUACACUGCUUAGUAGCUGGAAGUAUUUUUCCUAGUAUGUGUCUUUCUGCACUUGUCUGAACCAGACCUGGGCUGGAGUCUGAAUUCUCCUUGUAAACCAUGGAGUUUGUCAGUCAGAGCUCACAAGGUGUGGAUGGACUUCUGUGUGAGGUCUCUCUCUGGGGACAAAAGCUCCUUCAGCUUGCUGAAUCUUCAUAUGCAGCAGCAGGGCUUGCUAGAGGUGUGGCUGCAUUGAAUGCAUUGUUUAUCAGACUCUGGCCCACAGGCAAUCCCCACAAAUCUACUGAAGUCCCCAGAGACACAGCAGUCUUGGAAAGACUUAGCUGGUUAGUGCAUAGAUCCAUGAGGCUCUCAAAUGAAGUGCUUGCCUUCCCUGAAGUUCUCAGUAGGUGAAUCAGAUCAGAUGCUAAAAAUGUGAUGAUCUCCUCUCGUGAUCCCAAGGGACUGCAUCCAGCAAAUGUUCUCAGAAUGUGGUUAAUGCUGCCCUGUUGGUUACAGUCCUCAGAAACAAUGGGGUGGACUUGGCUUUGCUCUGCAGUAAUGCCUACUCUUAACAGAACAGGUUGACAGUUACAGCACUCUCUCAGAAGAUGGAAGAUGUGGGUUAUUGUGCUUUUACAGAAAGAAGAAAUUCACUUGUGCCUCCUGCUUCUUGGAUAGGUGCAGUAAGAACCAAUGUGGUGUAAGGAAUGAGUGCAGUGGCUGCAGUGCAGGCACUUGCAUUCACUGCCACUUUUCCAGUGAAUGGGGCUUUAGAGAAAGUUGAAAGCAAAGUUGCGGGUGCCUGCUCUUGAGCCAGUGCUUCCAGGCUGUGAAUCUUACAUGGUUCCAUGCAGACUUGAGUGAAAUACUCAAUUCCCAUUGAGCUGUGAGAUUUCAGAUAUGCUCUUGCCUGAUUGUCACUUUUUGGGUAGUCUUUGCUUGUUAGGCUGAGAUGUCAAACCUCCCACGGGAGUGCCUGUUCCCCACAUUAUGGUACAUUUGAUCUUAGCCCAUGGUUCUGAAUUCCACGUGAGAUCAAAUGCACAGAAGUUUCCUGUUUCAAUCACUGAUUUAGAAUUGUCUGGAAAGAUGGAAGGUGAAGACACACAGAAUUCAACAGAACUCUGAUUAUUUACGUCAGCUGAGGUAGUUUUUCCCUGGAAAUUAUUGGCAACACUGGUAAAUUUUGAUAUCACUCUUUUUCAUCUGUUUAAUUGUUUAACGAUUUAGCUGCCUCACAAGAAUACAUGUAAAAUUACAGCAUAGAAUUGAAGUUCAUAAUCUUUAUGUAAUCUCUCUUCCUCACAGAAUGUAAGAGCAGGGAACGCAGAGGAGCUCCGCAACUGCUCUCCAUUUUCCUCUCCUGUUAUUCUCCUCUAUUCCCCUUCU